rnacentral:sRNA from 1 species
AAAACAGAGAAAAAAAAUGAAAAA